GACGAACGCUGGCGGCGUGCUUAACACAUGCAAGUCGAACGGUAAGGCCCUUCGGGGUCCACGAGUGGCGAACGGGUGAGUAACACGUGGGAAAUCUGCCCUGCACAUCGGGAUAAGCCUGGGAAACUGGGUCUAAUACCGAAUAGGACCACAGGACACAUGUCCUGUGGUGGAAAGCUUUUGCGGUGUGGGAUGGGCCCGCGGCCUAUCAGCUUGUUGGUGGGGUGAUGGCCUACCAAGGCGACGACGGGUAGCCGGCCUGAGAGGGUGUCCGGCCACACUGGGACUGAGAUACGGCCCAGACUCCUACGGGAGGCAGCAGUGGGGAAUAUUGCACAAUGGGCGAAAGCCUGAUGCAGCGACGCCGCGUGGGGGAUGACGGCCUUCGGGUUGUAAACCUCUUUCACCAUCGACGAAGGUCCGGGUUUUCUCGGGCUGACGGUAGGUGGAGAAGAAGCACCGGCCAACUACGUG
rnacentral:rRNA from 1 species